UGUUACAGAACAGAGGGCUCCUUCCAGCAGCUGGAACCUCCAGCAAAACCUGUCCCCGAGUGACCACGCAUGAAUCCGACAUGACCGGCAGCUGAUAAAUGGCCUCCUUACAACUUCAAAGCCUGGGAACCGGGCGGGCAUCAAAGCCAAUAAAUUUGGACGGUACUCGCGACGGCGGCCAACGGCAACUCCUGGAGGUCAUGCCACUUGCAAGGAAGAAAUCACUGUCACACCCCAUGGUCCACUGGGCUUGAGCAAACCCAUGUUCUUGCGAACAGAUGCAAAAUCCAGCAUUUUCUGCCUGCAAGGGAACUUGCACUUGGAGACUUGCAGCAUCAGCAAGAAUCUGUCCAGUUGUCUGAGCAUCAUCACCCAGAUGUUCUGGGUAUUAAGAGUCUCAAGCAAAAUACGUCGUCCAUAUUUUUUUGCAGCCCUGUGAGAUACUCAACACCACGAUGACCCAGAUCCAUGGGAAAGUGUAUACAAAGCAGAGCGGGAAGAGCCGAAAGCAGAGUUGUGUGUAUAUACGGAU